rnacentral:sRNA from 1 species
AUUGGAUGUGGUGGCACAUGUUUAUAAUCCCAGCUACUCUGGAGGCUGAGGUAGACUGCUCACUUGAGCCUAGGAGUCCACGUCCAACCUGGACAACAUAGUGAGAUUCUGUCUCAA